ACGUGCGCUCCGAGAUUGAUAACAGAGACAGUGAGGCUGAAACGGGAACCCGGCGGAGCCACCAUUCAGGCGAGCACCGGGUCCGAGCGGCGCCGGCCGGGAAACGGAUCCGUCGGCACGAGAGGAACAGAGGCUUGGGAUAAACACCUGGAGCAAAUGCAAUUCAGCUGAUACUGGUGGACCCAAACUAAAUGCAGCAGAGGAGUGCUUUUAAGAGGCGAGAGAGGCGUGAGAAUCUCCUGAUGGAUGUGUUUACAGCAGGGGAGCCCAGCAGCACCUGUAGCCCACGUAAACCUUCAGAGAAAACGGACCUGGUUUUUCCAUCUUGUACCACAGUCAACCCCAGUUGGACUGGCAGCAGGACUGGAUGCCUGAGGCAGACCCAGGAGAGGACACAGUAUCCUAUUGUGAAUUACAAAGAAGGCUGCGGAGAUCCAUUUUUCCACAGUAUGAUUCAUAAGCAGUUUUUGUUAGGGUUCAAAUCUCUGGUGCCAGCCUGCUGCCGUGGCCUUUCUUUAACCAGGAUCUUGGUCAUUUGAUGCACUUUAAUGCAAGGAAUUGAGCUGCUGUAUCAUUCUUUAAAGUGCUGUCCAUGACUCAGUGGUUCUUCUCAUUGGUGCCAGCAAAGAAUCUUCCUAAGUGUCUGGUUCUAUUUUAAUCUAUCUCUCUUUUGAGGGAGUCAGAACUCUGUAGCAUCAGCUCACAUGUGAGCCUCAGAAAACCUAGCAGUAUUUAGACAGAGCUAUCGUCACAGAACGUAUGAAAAAACAGGUGGGAAUUCUGUUUUACAUUAGAAAAAAUAAAAUGCAGAAAUGCUGUUAUAACACCAUGCCUGAACUUGAAGAUUGUGUUUUAAACUGCAGAGGUUUGCGAAGGCAACAGAAUUUUUAUUAUACGUAUCUAAAAAGUCAGUGCUAGAACUGUCAAUAAUUUUUUCUGUGCUCUUCAGAGAAAUAUGGUUAAUGGUGAUGAUGAAUUUAGACAAGCACUGUAUCUUCUAAAAUGUCUCAAUCAUUACAGUCACCACAUUAAGCAAUUCCACUAGAAGAGAAUGGAAAAUGAAAUUAGCAUUAAUUUAACUGCACACAAAUCAGAUGUAGCAGCUAUAGGUCGAGGCACUUUUAAUAAUAGCAUUAGAAUGAUUUAGUUGUUGAAAUUAAUUCAACAUGUUGACUAACUUAGAUAAAUGAGUUUGAUUGUGAGUCUCCACUGACAUCAUGCAAAACAGUCAUUAAAAAACACGUUUCAAGGUGAUGACAGCAGUGUUUCUUUCUAAUUUCAGAUGGAGACAUGGAUUGAAAUUAUGAUUUUUCUUAAAGUCAUCCUCCCCAGGGAACUGGUUUCAGAUGGUGUCUUAGAGUAUAAAAUCCCAUCUAGCACCAUUUGAAAUCGGUGUUCUUGAGUGGGAACAGACUUCAGGAAUGACGUCAGGGUACAAGUGUAUGCACUAGGUUGGCAGAAAGAUUGCAGUUUAGUGGCAUUGUUUGCAUUCAUAUUUUUAUACCCCAUUCAAGAUUUAUGAUGCAUUCAGGCAGUUCAAGUCAUUUAAGAAUAUCAAUAAAACACAUCCGCUGAUGAUGACAACAGGUUCUCCAGACAGCUCAUGUUGGAGUCCAGCCUUCUGACCACCUGACCCCCCUCUCACCAAGGCUGACCGUUUUCCUCUGGUGUUCAGAGUUUCCAUCAUGUCUAGCACCAUUUGAAAUCGGUUACAAUGUGGAGGGACUAUCAACAAACAUUCUGCAUCAGCUACAUGAUGAAAUUCCUCCAACUACCAGAAGAUGGCAGCCUCACACUACCAACAGCAUUCAUGUAAGGAGGCCAAGUUAGAAGAAUCCUGGAAACAGUGAAAGACUCACUGAAUGACCCUGUUCGGGUCGGAGACCAGCAAAAGUUUGGAACAAAGCAUCACUUGACAUCAAGGACUGCUUUGGUUUCGGAAUUUGUUUUCUUCUUUUAUCAUGUUGCAGUUACUCAGCCAUGAUGUCUGCAAUUUGCAUAGUUAUCUUCAAGGAAUAGCUGAUAAAAAAAAAGAGAUUAUCUGGGUAAAUGUAUUAGUAGUCCAAAGGCUGUGUUUCACUUAUACACGUUUGCUUAGAUUUAAAUAUGUAAAUGUACAAAAUGCUAGAUUCCACUUAAAUGAACAUGUGUUGUUUAUAGCUAUUUUUGCAUGUCCAAUAAUAAUCUCAUUUAUUAAGUCUUCAGGAAAAUGCUGAAGAAUAAUUAAGAAUUAUUUUGUGUACUAUAGCAAAUAUAAUUUUGUGUUACACAACUGAUCUUCAAAUUCAAUAUGUUUUUGCUAUCAUUUGCUUUUACUUCAGCUUAGUUAAUAAAAAAAAAAAAACAGACAUAUGUUUAACAUCAACUACUGUUGGUAUGAGCUGAACCAUUUUUAAUUACAGCCUGUCAUCUCUCCAACUCCCGGGCAGAGGCAAUUCUUUCGAGUUUUUGAGCUUUAAAUUAAAUUUAAUUAUAGCACAUAAUCUUUUAAUACAUGCCAGCGCGACAUUCUCAUGCUACAUUACGUGGAGACCAGAUGGCAAAUAAGGACCAACAUUAGCUUAAAGCAUCAAGCCUGUAGCUGUCAACCCUUUUACCCUUCACAUGUCACACAGCUGACAUACGCAUUAAUGCAGUUGUCUUUUUGAAUAAAUUAUUGAAAGUUCUUAAUUAAAAUGUAUGAAUGAUUAACCCACACUGUCAAGGUUGUUAACCUUGACAGUGUGGGUUUAGAAGUGUGGUUCUGGAAGGUGAACAGCAGUUUUUCCAGAAAAGCAGUUAUGAAUCUAAGUAGCUCUAAUACAUAAAGACUCAGUUCAGUGUUUGCAUUAUUAUUAUAGCAUAGUGAGAUUUUAUUUUCAUGUUGUCUCUUGUAUUUAUCCCCCAUUUUAACUUAUAAUAGCAGUAUCACAAAAUAAAUUAUGUGAAGCAUCACUGCAGUACUUGACAGCUUGUCUUAAACUCAUGCGCCUGCAAAGAUGCUAGAUCAAUUAUUUUGUUUAAGUAACUGUACUUUAUUCUGUGUUCUUCUGUGUAUGUGCAUCUGGACAUAGAAAUACUGUUUGUCUUAAGGGAAAAGACUGGAUUGAAUGCCAAAAUGUGUAAGUGUAUGUUUUCUGUAAUUCUGUCAUCAUUAAACCUUGAUAUUUUUUUUUA